CCUACGGGAGGCUGCAGUAGGGAAUCUUCCACAAUGGGCGAAAGCCUGAUGGAGCAACGCCGCGUGGGUGAAGAAGGUCUUCGGAUCGUAAAACCCUGUUGUUAGAGAAGAAAGUGCGUGAGAGUAACUGUUCACGUUUCGACGGUAUCUAACCAGAAAGCCACGGCUAACUACGUGCCAGCAGCCGCGUUAAUACGUAGGUGGCAAGCGUUAUCCGGAUUUAUUGGGCGUAAAGGGAACGCAGCCGGUCUUUUCAGUCUGAUGUGAAAGCCUUGGGCUUAACCGGCGUAGUGCAUUGGAAACUGGGAGACUGGAGUGCAGAAGAGGCGAGUGGAAGUCCAUGUGGAGCGGUGAAAUGCGUAGAUAUAAGGAAGAACACCAGUGGCGAAAGCGGCACUCUGGUCUGUAACUGACGCUGAGGUUCGAAAGCGUGGGUAGCAAACAGGAUUAGAUACCCGAGUAGUC
rnacentral:rRNA from 1 species